rnacentral:rRNA from 1 species
CCUACGGGAGGCAGCAGUGAGGAAUAUUGGUCAAUGGACGAGAGUCUGAACCAGCCAAGUAGCGUGAAGGAUGACUGCCCUAUGGGUUGUAAACUUCUUUUAUAUGGGAAUAAAAUGUUCCACGUGUGGGAUUUUGUAUGUACCAUAUGAAUAAGGAUCGGCGAACUCCGUGCCAGCAGCCGCGGUAAUACGGAGGAUCCGAGCGUUAUCCGGAUUUAUUGGGUUUUAAGGGAGCGUAGGUGGAUUGUUAAGUCAGUUGUGAAAGUUUGCGGCUCAACCGUAAAAUUGCAGUUGAAACUGGCAGUCUUGAGUACAGUAGAGGUGGGCGGAAUUCGUGGUGUAGCGGUGAAAUGCUUAGAUAUCACGAAGAACUCCGAUUGCGAAGGCAGUUCACUGGACUGCAACUGACACUGAGGCUCGAAAGUGUGGGUAUCAAACAGGAUUAGAUACCCCAGUAGUC